rnacentral:rRNA from 1 species
AGGGUGGACGGCCACAUUGGGACUGAGAUACGGCCCAGACUCCUACGGGAGGCAGCAGUAGGGAAUUUUGCGCAAUGGACGAAAGUCUGACGCAGCAACGCCGCGUGAGGGAUGACUGCCUUCGGGUUGUAAACCUCUGUUGGAUGGGAAAAAACGGUAGCAAUACCUUGAUGGUACCAUUCGAGUAAGCACCGGCUAACUACGUGCCAGCAGCCGCGGUAAUACGUAGGGUGCAAGCGUUGUUCGGAAUUACUGGGCGUAAAGGGAGCGUAGGCGGGAUCGUAAGUUAGGAGUUUAAUGCAUGGGCUUAACCCAUGACCUGCUCUUAAUACUGCGGUUCUUGAGUAUGGGAGAGGGCGAUGGAAUUCCAGGUGUAGCGGUGGAAUGCGUAGAUAUCUGGAAGAACACCAGUAGCGAAGGCGGUCGCCUGGCCCAAUACUGACGCUGAGGCUCGAAAGCUAGGGGAGCGAACAGGAUUAGAUACCCUGGUAGUCCUAGCCGUAAACGAUGAACACUAGUUGCCGGAGGAGUCAAUCUUUUCGGUGACGAAGCUAACGCAUUAAGUGUUCCGCCUGGGAAGUACGCCCGCAAGGGUGAAACUCAAAGGAAUUGACGGGGGCCCGCACAAGCGGUGGAGUAUGUGCUUUAAUUCGAUGCAACGCGAAGAACCUUACCUAGACUUGACAUGGGGGUGAAAAUCCGUAGAAAUAUGGAACCUUCCGCAAGGAACACCCUACACAGGUGCUGCAUGGUUGUCGUCAGCUCGUGUCGUGAGAUGUUGGGUUAAGUCCCGCAACGAGCGCAACCCUCGUCCUUAGUUGCUAACAGGUUAUGCUGAGAACUCUAAGGAGACUGCCUGGUUUAACCAGGAGGAAGGUGGGGAUGACGUCAAAUCCUCAUGGCCCUUACGUCUAGGGCUAGACACGUACUACAAUGGCCGGUACAACGGGCUGCAAGUCGGUGACGACAAGCUAAUCCCUUAAAACCGGUCUCAGUUCGGAUUGAAGUCUGCAAUUCGACUUCAUGAAGCUGGAAUCGCUAGUAAUCGCGGAUCAGCAUGCCGCGGUGAAUACGUUCCCGGGCCUUGUACACACCGCCCGUCAAGCCAAGAAAGAUGGCAGUACCCGAAGUCGCUUCUCUAACCGCAAGGAAGAGUGUGCCGAAGGUAAGGCUGUUGAUUGGGGCUAAGUCGGAACAAGGUAGCUGUAUCGGAAGGUGCGGCUG